rnacentral:lncRNA from 1 species
AUAUCAUAAUAUAGAAAAAUGAGGUAUGUUAAUGAUAGAUUGAUAACAGUUACUAUCUUCAUUUGGUGUAUUAGAACUUAAAACCAGACCCAGUUAUGAGAAACCUGAUGCUAAGCCUACCAAUAGGAAACUUAAGUUGUUUGUAACAUAAAUGAAAGCAAUAGAAUAUGGAUACAUAAGAUAGUGCAUAAUAGAAUGUGACUUCUAUCACUUCUUAAAAUAUCUUAUAAUAUUUUGAGUGUAUCUGAUGUACUUAGAGGAAAAUCACACAUGCAGAAAGUAUAAACAGAUGGAGUCUGACUUUUAAACUAUUUAAAGAGAAACAUGGUGAAAAGAGCAGUAUGAAAGAUGGACUGAAGAAAAAUAUAGCCACAACAAAAUUUCAUAACCUUGCAUUGCAUAUUCUGAAAUAGAUGUCCAAACAAACAAACACAUCACUGAACAUAAGAACUGAACAGAAACAUAUCAGUGACAGUGAACACCACACAUCAACCACACAAAAAAAACUAUGGAGUCAAAAAACAAAAAUGGAAGACCCUUGAUUCAAGUAUUCUUGCCACAGAACAAAUGAAAUUGCAGAGGGAAGCAAAACAAAUCAGUCCAAAACCCUUCAGAUUGAAAACAACCCCAGACACCAAACACCUGACAUUUAUAUGUUGUUGUUCAAAAUCCUUCCUUUUUCAUACAGCCUAAAUAUGAAAAUUCUGAUCCCCAAGUUGAGCGCAAAUAAAUAGUUCUAACAGAAAACAGCUUUGUUAUUUAUUAAGCCGAUAUUCAUGUUUCUUUUUCCUUUGGGCUUGUAGCUAGCUAGCUUCAACUCGAAUUCCAUAUCGGUGAGAGAGAGAAAACUUACCAAUUAUCAUAAAUAUAUCAUGUACUAACAAAUAUAUAAACAAGCUGCAACUAUGUAAGCUUAUAAAAGGCAAGCAUUAGCAUAUUUUCUACAAAAUCAAAUUAGAGCCCUUUUGUAACUGCUGUGUGCUACUAAACAUGUGCCAAUGCACCAAACAGUUGUAAAGGCAAGCACUGCGACAAUGGAUGAAAAAGAAAAAAACAUACACUGAUUAAAACAUUCAAAUAGGAAGAUUACGAGAAUGAGAGAAGAAUAAAAUACAGAUUAUAUGACUGAAAUGGAACACUUCAUAGGAAGGUCGAUAGUAAGUAUCACAAUUGCGAGUCUGGAGAUGAAGGGUGAAAUAAUUUGGGAUUAUGAUAGUAAAUGGAGGAAAGAGUUUAGGGAGUGAGGGUUUUCUGUUCUUCUUUAGGGUUUAGGUCCCAAUUAUUUGUGUAAGGAAGGAACAUGUUGCGAGAGUAUUUUUCCCGCCAGGAAAAU